GAGUAUUUAAUCCCUAAGGUUUCUAUAAUACUGCAACUUCCGUUAGACCUCAGUUUUCUCUAAUUCCUUCCCCCAGCGAUUUCCCCACACUAAUAAUUGUUAAAUAAUGCAUGGGCAGUUGCAAAGUCCAACACAGCUCCACCCUUCUGUAAGGCUUUUCCUCAUCACUGGAUGUUUGUGUGUUAUGCAACUAGCAAUAGAUUAAUGCCCACAGUGCAAAACGGAGAUGCCUGUGCCUUAAGUCUAUGAACUCUUUCAAUCCCUACUGUCAGAUAUGCUGUAAGAGACAGCGGACAGCAGAUGGAAGGAUAGAAAAUGAUCUCCUCAUGAACUACAAAAAGGAUGUAAUUGGUC